GCUAAGACAUUCCAUUUCUUAAGAAAGGCAUUGCAGCAAUGUUUUAGUAUAGAGAGGCUAUAUAUAUACGUACACUUCUUGUCAUCUCUGUUGGAGAAUUACUUUAGUAUGAAAUUGGCAGCAAAAAUUAAAUAAGUCACGAAGUGCAACAAAAUACGGAUUUUGCUAGCAAUCAUCGCUUGAUCUCGAAGUUCCAUUUUAUCGCAUUGUUAAAUUCGAGAUCUCUUCGAAGUGAAGUAGGGUGGAAGAAGAUCAUUUCUUGGAAUAUAAGAUUGGUGAAGCCCGAGACCUAAUUUAUGGUUAACUUGAGAAGCGACAAAGGUACAGAUACUCGAUUUGGUGAUCCUCCAGCUUAGGAUUUCUACUCAGCUGUCUUGGAGAGCUCCAUUGUUCCGGAACCUAGACUUUUGGUACAGAUCUUCUGAUGUAAUAAUAUGUUUAUCCAGGGGUACGGCGGGGCCCUGUCCCGUCAUAUUUUAUUAUCGAUACUCUUAGAGGUCUGUAGACAUAUGUGUGGGUUGUGUAUAAGUUUUGUUCAGCUGUGUCUAUACGAUUUGCUAUGGAUAUGUUCGUCUGUAGUGGCAGCCUUGUCGGCCUGCGUAUGGUAUUGAUAUGUAGUGGCAGCCUUGUCGGCUAGCACAUCAUAUUGACAUGUAGUGGCAGCCUUUUCGGCUUGCGUAUCACAUUAUGUUUUGAUUAGUUGUGAUUCCUCAGGAGACAGGUUAUCGGGAUAAAUAUAUAU